UCGGCCCGGCUGAUACCCGACCCCAAAUCGGUCUUUCUUCUCGGGGACCUCCAUCAUUCUGCCCCAACCAGGAGCCUCUCCACUCUUCACCACCUCAGUGGCCUGCUUAUAUGAAGCGAUGGACGGUUUUUCUUCCUUAGCAAACAGAGCAUUCUCCACCUUAACGGUUUCAAAAGCCUGACUGGGUGUCUCCCAGAUCUCGCCAUCCAUCUCCACAUAUUUGAACGAGGACAGAUGGCUGACAAAAAUGUCCUCC
rnacentral:lncRNA from 1 species